AACUAUAACGGUCCUAAGGUAGCGAAAUUCCUUGUCAGGUAAGUUCUGACCCGCACGAAAGGCGUAACGAUUUGGGCGCUGUCUCAGCUGUAGACUCGGUGAAGUCUUAGUACCUGUGAAGAUGCAGGUUACCCGCGACUAGACGGAAAGACCCCAUGGAGCUUCACUGCAGGUUGAUAUUGGGAUUUGAUGCAGCAUGUACAGGAUAGGUAGGAGGCAAAGAGAUGGAUACGCCAGUAUUCAAGGAGCCGCUGUUGGGAUACUACCCCUGUUGUAUUGGAUUUCUAACCGGACGACGUAGAGCCGUUGACGGGACAGUGUCAGUCGGGCAGUUUGACUGGGGCGGUCGCCUCCCAAAGAGUAACGGAGGCGCCCAAAGAUACCCUCAGCUUGGAUGGAAACCAAGCGCAGAGUGCAAAGGCAAAAGGGUGUUUGACUGCGAGACCCACAAGUCGAGCAGGGACGAAAGUCGGGCUUAGUGAUCCGGCGGUGCUGAAUGGAAAGGCCGUCGCUCAACGGAUAAAAGCUACCCUGGGGAUAACAGGCUGAUCUCCCCCAAGAGUCCACAUCGACGGGGAGGUUUGGCACCUCGAUGUCGGCUCAUCGCAUCCUGGGGCUGAAGUAGGUCCCAAGGGUUGGGCUGUUCGCCCAUUAAAGCGGUACGCGAGCUGGGUUCAGAACGUCGUGAGACAGUUCGGUCCCUAUCUGUCGUGGGCGCAGGAAAUUUGAGAAGAGCUGUCCUCAGUACGAGAGGACCGGGAUGGACGCAUCAAUGGUGGACCAGUUGUCACGCCAGUGGCAUAGCUGGGUAGCUAAAUGCGGAAGGGAUAAACGCUGAAGGCAUCUAAGUGUGAAACCCACUUCAAGAUGAGAUUUCCCAUUGCGCAAGCAAGUAAGACCCCUUAAAGACGAUAAGGUAGAUAGGUCAGGAGUGUAAGCAUGGUGACAUGUUAAGCGGACUGAUACUAAUAGGUCGAGGGCUUGACCGA
rnacentral:rRNA from 1 species